ACCAUCGGUGAAGAGGCUGAAGAUAGCUCCGACGGUGAGUAAAGUGAGGAGGGCUCCCCGUUCGAUCUUUCCAAACUGGGUUCCGAAGUAAUAGUGUACCGUGGUUCCGGUGUCGGUAACAGAGAUGGUUAUGGAUCGGAUGACACCGAUUACGAGGGCGAGCAGAGGGAUGUAUAUCUUAAAUAGAGACGUCAGUACAGGGAAAGCGAGGUAAUUAUAUAUCACUAUUGUCUUUGUAUUUUUUUUUUAUAAUUACCUUUUUUUAAUGGAUUUGAGUUCCUACUUCAGGGAUUUGAUUUUGAUGAUUAUCCCAAGCAAACUGAGGGAGAACUUUUCCUUGGUGUUGCUCGUCAUGUCGAUUUCGAAGAUGAAGAUGGCUUUUAUACCAAAGGCUGCAGAGAGGCACUUGCGUAUGCUGUCCAGGAACAGAAUAAGAAGGUGGACAUCUCUGUUAUAGAUGCUAAAUAUUGUAAAUUUUAUCCAAAUUUACAUGCAUAUUUUGAAUAAUUUGAUUGUAUCGAAUGAAUUCCUCACGGAUGAGACACAAAUAUGGAUAAUUUCGUAUAUUCUUAAUUGCUCUUGCCUUAUUUCUGUACACCUCCAGAUUAUUAACUUCACACAUAUUUCAUGUUUGUGUAGGGUGGAAAUCUGAGACCUCUUGAGAUUAUCAAGGCAAAUGGUGAAUCAAUCGGAUUGUAUCACAUAACUUUCAGAGCUGAAGAUACGAAACGACUAGGGGAAAUCAAAGUUUAUCAAACUAGGGUCUUCUAUAGUUUGGUUCCUGAUUGUGACCACAAUGAAGUCUUUAUUUUCAGGUUAAAGGAAGGUAAUUUUAAAAAUUAAAAAAAAAAAGAAUUUAUAUCUGUGCUCUGCUCAUUUUUAAAUUAAUUUGUGUUGCUUAUUUUAUUUUAUAUGAUUUUUUUAUUUAUUUUUAUGAUUUUUUUUUCCAAUGAUCUAAGUUACUUGAUGCUUAUUAAUAUAUUGUAGAUGACAAAGCUAAUUGAAAUAUGAGGAGAAUACUGGAAGAUACUUUCUAUAAAAACCAAGACAUGUCUAUGGAGUGAUUUUAGAGCUUUUUUCAAUUGAGAAUUUGUAGUUCAUGGUAUGUUACGGUGAUGAUCGUGUAUUAGACUUAUUAGACUUGCCCGUACUUUAUGAACAGAUAAUGAUUUUUUUUUUUUAAUCUUGAAAUUAAGUUCUUUUAGACUACAGAAAAGAGCAUAUAUUUUAACCGCCAGCCUUACAUGGUAUUUGGCGUUAUUUCUUAAACUGAUUAAUUUGCUCUCCUUCUCUUUCGCUAUUAUUUAUUUCCGCUUAUUAAUGAUACACGCAUAGGAUGAACAUGUUGCUCCAUCAUUUUCCAAGUUUUAUGGAUAGGGAAGUUGUUCCUUAGCUUCUUCUUUCAAACGAAUAUCACCAUUUGCAGCUUUUACACUUAUAGUGUGGGAUAUUAGGCUCAACAUUUGCAUCAGCAUGAUGAUUUUUUAUCUUUCCCCAAAAUUGUGUGAAGCCAGUAGUCAGACAAACAUUUCGUGUAACAGAACUUGGAGGUUCCAAAAAGAUCCGUGUUUGAACUUGCAAUUGAAGUUAAACCUUUUCAUUUGGAAUUUCUAUAUCCUAAAAUGUUCCUCGAACCAUUUACUUGCAUCCAACGUCCACCAGAUGGUACUUGCAUCCAACGUCCACCAGAGAAUGAUCAAACUCAAAACAAUACCCAAAGCCACCGGUGCAUAGUUCAAUGUGUCCGAAGAAAUUGGGUAAUAAGUUGGCAAAAGAAAAACAGAAUCAGUUGUAACAAAUCCACAGGAAGGGCAAUAAAGCAUAAAAUGGCCCAGCGUUGAAAUUCUUCUCAGCCAUUGCCAUUCUAGUGAAAAUUGGAACAGUAUUGUCACCAAUCCAUCCAAUUGUGUUUAUGGAAGUUAUGGCAGUGAAGACGACAAUGACUUUUUAAGUGGGUAGUCCUAGCAAAAUGCAAAUGGCUGCAUAGAGCCAACCAUACUCUAUUUGACGAAACUAGAGUAAGCGGAAAUAAUAUAGAGAGGUUCACCGUACUCCAUUUGAUGUAACUAGAAUAAGCGGAAAGAGGUGCUUGAGGAAGGAGAGUAAGGAGUGAAGGGUAAUUAUGAAAUUAAAAUUAAUUGGUUGACAGCUAAAUUUGACUGUUUCUUUUUGGUUAACACAAAUAAAUUAUAAAGAUAUUUUAAUUUAAUUUAUAAAAUAUGGGAAUAAUUUAAUAUGUGAAAUUAAUUAUUUUUAUUUUUACACCACAAAUUACAUAAUUUUAGUAAUCGAAUUAAAUUAAUUUAAAAAUUAAUUAAAUUAAAUUGAUUUAUUUUUAUUUAAUUCAAUUAUAAAUUAUUCAAAUUUCAUACCUUACAAUUAAUUUCCAUUUUUAACCAAAAUAUAAUACAAUUACGUAAUGGAAAAAUAUAACACAAUUAUGCAAUGGAAAACAUAAUACAUCUUUCUAACCUUUAAAAAAUAUAAAAUCAUUUCAACAAUCAAAUUUAAAGCCACAAAAUAUGAAAUUAUGUACUUCAACAAAAAACUUGCAAUUCUUGUAAUUAGUUUUUUAUAAGAAAUCUAGUUAUUAGGAAUUUGAAGAAGACUAGAUACUGAGAUGGAUGAAAACCCAAUAAGAUCAUUUUUAAUGAAUGGUGUGAAUCAUAAAAUUUGAGAUUGAAAUUGAUGAAAACUGAAAACCAUGAAUGUUAAUGAGAUUUUAGACGGUCUAUGAAAUGUGAAUAUGAAAGAAGACUGUAGGAUGAAAUCCAAUUCUUUUGUGCAUGUGCAAAAAUAAAUAUAAAUCUUUGAAGAUGAUUCAGAUGAUAUUAUUGGAAGACAAAUUAGAGGAAACAAGAACAAUGACAUGGCUUUCCUUGAAAUGACAAUGGAAGAGAAACUAGAUAUUAUUUAGUUUCUAGCUUGCGGGUGAGAUAACGAGAACCGGAAAAAAUAAUAAAAUAUGAAAGUGAAGAUUUUACACAACGAUGCAAAUGAGUUUCGUAUGUAAAACUUAAAACUGUAGUGUAUUAUUUACUAUUGAUAGUUGCAUGCCUAGGAAGCCGAACGAUAUUUGUUCUUUGAAAGCUCUUAAUGCAAUAUCUUUUUCGCUCGAUAAAAAAUAAAAAAUAGAGGGACCAAAUAAAAAAUUGAUAAUAUUUGAGGGAUUAAAUACAAAUUUGGUUAUUAUAUUUGGAUUCCUAUGCUAUAAAUCCCAGUGGGAAUAAGCAAUUCCGAAUAUUUCCUUCCUAGGGUUUACGGAAGGUUUCUUCUGGAUCCUAACGAUGCACGUCUCCAAAAAGAGAAAAGGAUUGACGGAUCUAGAUGGUCUACCCAAGCAAUGCGAAGAAGGAGUUGUCGAUAAAACCACCGGUGAAGAGGAUGAAGAUGCCGAUAGCACCAUCGGUGAAGAGGCUGAAGAUAGCUCCGACGGUGAGGAAAGUGAGGAGGGCUCCCCGAUCGAUCCUUACAAACUCGGUUCCGAAGUAAUAGUUUUCGAUGGUUCCGAGGGUAACAGAGAUGGUUAUGGAUCUGAUGACACCGAUUACGAGGACGAGCAGAGGGAUGUAUAUCUUAAAUACAGACGUCAGUACAGGGAAAGCGAGGUAAUUA
rnacentral:lncRNA from 1 species